GAUUCGGGGAAUUUCUAAAAUCUGGCCCAUAAGGUCGCCGCAGCGUGCUAACCAGGGAAGAGCCGAGGACCCUGAACCCGUCCUUAGCGUGACGACAUGUGGCGGCUUUGUGAACGCAUCCUCGGCCUCGAUCGAGUUUCAACUUGGCGGUUCAAUCCGUGCGGAUAUGAGGUGCGUCUAGAUUGUGCAGACACCUUAUUUUACGCAAAGGUUCAACCUGAUAGCAUCCGGUCUUAAAGAAACAGAUGGUCUUUACAUUACUGCGGUAUCAAAGGCUUGGCUUGACUACACUGAAAAAUUAGAUUCGCUUGGGCAGAAUAUAACUCUACAGUCAAAAAGUGCCAUGAUCACCUUGAUCGUUGGACACGCACCGACGCUUGGAUUCAAGAUGGAAUAUUAUGCGAGCGGUGCCUCCGUUAGUCCAGAUAUUACCGGUGCCGAAAUCUUGACUACGGCAAAGGGAAAUUUGACUUACCCAAGAAACGGCGGAAAUUAUGAUUUCUAUGAGACUGCUUUGUUUCCCAUCGCCCCAAGUGUCCCCGGACAGCCGACCCUCCGAUUUACGAGGGUGGAUCUUGAAUCUGAUUCUACCUGUUCGUACGACUCCAUUCGGAUUUACACAUGGUUUGACGGCGAUUAUCGACAAGCUUCAGGAUUUUGUGGGAAUACAAUUCCAACCAGUGUAACGUUCCAGGAUGGCGUGCUUUUCGUCUUGUUUACAUCAGAUGGUAGCAUCUUAAAGACUGGGUUCGACUUCCAAUAUGAGUAAAAUGAUAAAUACAUUGUUGCAUAAACUAUUUGUUUAAGAACGACAUAAUAAAAAAUUAUUAACUUGCGAUUAAUACAUUAAGUCAGGAUUCGUAAUAGACUAAUAUGUAUUACCUUAAUAACUUUAAAUAAUAGUAAAUAUUCUCGGAAUUGGACAUAAUUUUUACAAGCAUUUUAAUGUGUAAUAUAUACGAGCACGUUUGUAUUUACAGUUUUAAUCGUUUUCCUAGAUAUUGUCUAGUUUGAUUACGUAUUAUAAUUACAAAACCUGUAUUCAAACUAAACCAUAUUAUAAACGUGUUAUCGCAGAGUGCAGUGGAGAAUAU